GGCUAGCUCAAUCGGUAGAGCGUGAGACUCUUAAUCUCAAGGUUGUGGGUUCGACCCGUAAGCGCACCUCUUCCCAGUGUUCAUUG